rnacentral:rRNA from 1 species
AGCAGCCGCGGUAAUUCCAGCUCCAAUAGCGUAUAUUAAAGUUGUUGCAGUUAAAAAGCUCGUAGUUGAAUUUCGGGGCCAGUAGGUUGGUCGUGCCACUGGUAUGCACUGGCCUUAUUGGUCUCUCCCUCUUGAAGAACCGUAAUGCCAUUAAUUUGGUGUUGCGGGGAAACAGGACUGUUACUUUGAAAAAUUAGAGUGCUUAAAGCAGGCUAACGCUUGAAUACAUUAGCAUGGAAUAACGGAAUAGGACGCUUGAUUCUAUUUUGUUGGUUUCUAGGAUCAACGUAAUGAUUAAUAGGGAUAGUUGGGGGCAUUAGUAUUCAAUUGUCAGAGGUGAAAUUCUUGGAUUUAUUGAAGACUAACUACUGCGAAAGCAUUUGCCAAGGAUGUUUUCAUU